UGGGGAAUAUUGCACAAUGGGCGAAAGCCUGAUGCAGCAACGCCGCGUGAGUGAUGAAGGCCUUCGGGUUGUAAAGCUCUGUCUUUUGGGACGAUAAUGACGGUACCAAAGGAGGAAGCCACGGCUAACUACGUGCCAGCAGCCGCGGUAAUACGUAGGUGGCAAGCGUUGUCCGGAUUUACUGGGCGUAAAAGGAUGCGUAGGCGGAUUUUUAAGUGAGAUGUGAAAUACCCGGGCUUAACUUGGGUGCUGCAUUUCAAACUGGGAAUCUAGAGUACGGGAGAGGAGAAUGGAAUUCCUAGUGUAGCGGUGAAAUGCGUAGAGAUUAGGAAGAACACCAGUGGCGAAGGCGAUUCUCUGGACCGUAACUGACGCUGAGGCAUGAAAGCGUGGGUAGCAAACAGGAUUAGAUACCCUGGUAGUCCACGCCGUAAACGAUGAGUACUAGGUGUAGGAGGUAUCGACCCCUUCUGUGCCGCAGUUAACACAAUAAGUACUCCGCCUGGGAAGUA
rnacentral:rRNA from 1 species